rnacentral:rRNA from 1 species
AUUGAACGCUGGCGGCACGCUUUACACAUGCAAGUCGAACGGCAGCGCGGGGCAACCUGGCGGCGAGUGGCGAACGGGUGAGUAAUACAUCGGAACGUACCCAGAAGUGGGGGAUAACGUAGCGAAAGUUACGCUAAUACCGCAUACGUUCUACGGAAGAAAGUGGGGGAUCUUCGGGCCUCAUGCUUUUGGAGCGGCCGAUGUCUGAUUAGCUAGUUGGUAGGGUAAAGGCCUACCAAGGCGACGAUCAGUAGCUGGUCUGAGAGGACGACCAGCCACACUGGGACUGAGACACGGCCCAGACUCCUACGGGAGGCAGCAGUGGGGAAUUUUGGACAAUGGGCGCAAGCCUGAUCCAGCAAUGCCGCGUGAGUGAAGAAGGCCUUCGGGUUGUAAAGCUCUUUUGUCAGGGAAGAAACGGCCGAGGCUAAUACCUUCGGCUAAUGACGGUACCUGAAGAAUAAGCACCGGCUAACUACGUGCCAGCCGCCGCCGUAAUAC